AUAUUAGAUCAGAACUUCCCAGGGAGCGGCCCAGGGAUCUGGAUUUCCAGUGCAUGCCCUGCGGUGACCCUCACUCCAGAAAGCUCAGGCCCCACUGAGCUCCAGUGUUCUAUCUCCAGACAUGGAUUACACCCGGGGCUACACAGCGAGACAGCGAACCUGUGCUGGGUCACCAGGUUGAGGGUGGUGGUGAGGUGGCGACACGGAGGCCCAGAGUGAGGAAGUCAUGUAUUCAAGGUGGCAGAGCUGGGAUUUGUAUAUCAUCUCUGUACCUGAGCCCCUAACCUGCAAGUCAUAAUAGGCAACGGAUCAAUGUUAUGAUGCAGUGGAGGCCCUUACCAGAAGCCAACCAGAUGCCAGCACCAUGCUCUUGGAUUUCCCAGUCUCCAGAAUGGUGCAGGUGGAGACGGAACCCUAGACACUGCUCAUCCCAAUCAGGCCCUUUCCAGGCCUGUCCCAUUCCAAUCGGGCAUCAGAUGUGGCAUUGAUCAUCAUCUACUUAACAAACGAGGCUCCCCUUUCAAUGCACUUGGGUCUCCUCUGGGCCAACCUUGGUUCUGAGAUAGCAGGUGCUGAAAUACUGCUGAAUCCUCAAAGCCAGACUAGCCAGUGCCUGGCACCUGAUGGGAAUAUGAUUUCAACGAACAGAAAUGAAGAGACCACCCAGAAAUACAGACCCAGCCUUUCAUUCUCUUAUAUUCCUUAUGUCCAACAUUUAUUGGGCCCUUACCAUGUG